CGUGGCUGUAAUUUGUUUGCGUGGGUUAGAGUAUGGUGUCAACACGUAUGCAAAAUUAAAGAGAGCUGUGAUGUAUAAAUUGUACCUAUUGGAAGUAGUUCGGGGGAGUUUGUUGCGGGUAUCUGCCUGGGUGCAAUCCGGACAUUAGUCCGAGCACAGGGGAUGAUUACCACGUAACUCUGGAUGAGUGGAAUAACUUGGUCUGCUGAAGGAAGGACUGUUCUGAUGGAAUAAUGGACUAAAGGAACUGCAUCUUAUUCGUUGUUAAGGAUUACAAGAUUGUGCUCGGGGCUUGACAAUGGACUGAUGGAGUAUCACUGGAUUCUAUUAUUUCCAGAGGAAUAACACCUGAAUGGAUUAACAAAGUUUUUUCCUGGCCCAAAACCCCAAAACUGGAUUACAUGCAGACCUGAAAUUUGGACUAACGCUCUCUCCAGCUUCCCCCUGGGUUCCUUGGUGGGCUCAGGUGAACGGCCGGGUGGGGCCCCACCCGCUGUUCUACUCUCUCCAAAUUACCGUUACAUUAGGUAACACGCAUUCCCCUUUUUCUUAAGAAAGCAUAAGACCAGUAGGGAUAUGGAUUAAGGGUGGUUUGAAUAUUAUCUAAUGUUUGAUUAUUUGUCUGAUGAUUUAUU